rnacentral:rRNA from 1 species
AAAUUGAAGAGUUUGAUCAUGGCUCAGAUUGAACGCUGGCGGCAGGCCUAACACAUGCAAGUCGAACGGUAGCACAGAGAGCUUGCUCUCGGGUGACGAGUGGCGGACGGGUGAGUAAUGUCUGGGAAACUGCCCGAUGGAGGGGGAUAACUACUGGAAACGGUAGCUAAUACCGCAUAACGUCGCAAGACCAAAGUGGGGGACCUUCGGGCCUCACACCAUCGGAUGUGCCCAGAUGGGAUUAGCUAGUAGGUGGGGUAACGGCUCACCUAGGCGACGAUCCCUAGCUGGUCUGAGAGGAUGACCAGCCACACUGGAACUGAGACACGGUCCAGACUCCUACGGGAGGCAGCAGUGGGGAAUAUUGCACAAUGGGCGCAAGCCUGAUGCAGCCAUGCCGCGUGUA